rnacentral:rRNA from 1 species
AAUGAACGCUGGCGGCAUGCCUAACACAUGCAAGUCGAGCGGAGUGAUGGUGCUUGCACUAUCACUUAGCGGCGGACGGGUGAGUAAUGCUUAGGAAUCUGCCUAUUAGUGGGGGACAACAUCUCGAAAGGGAUGCUAAUACCGCAUACGUCCUACGGGAGAAAGCAGGGGAUCACUUGUGACCUUGCGCUAAUAGAUGAGCCUAAGUCGGAUUAGCUAGUUGGUGGGGUAAAGGCCUACCAAGGCGACGAUCUGUAGCGGGUCUGAGAGGAUGAUCCGCCACACUGGGACUGAGACACGGCCCAGACUCCUACGGGAGGCAGCAGUGGGGAAUAUUGGACAAUGGGGGGAACCCUGAUCCAGCCAUGCCGCGUGUGUGAAGAAGGCCUUAUGGUUGUAAAGCACUUUAAGCGAGGAGGAGGCUCUUUUGGUUAAUACCCAAGAUGAGUGGACGUUACUCGCAGAAUAAGCACCGGCUAACUCUGUGCCAGCCGCCGCAGUAAUAC